GUGUUGUAUGAAAGGAGAGAAGGGUAGCAGUCCCCUUGAUGAGGAUGGAAGAGGCCCUUGGGCCUGACAGCAAGUAUAUGGUUAAAGCAUUGCCACCUACUGUGUGGCAUCUAAACAUCAUUUUAC